rnacentral:tRNA from 1 species
GGGGGUUUAGCUCAUUGGUAGAGCGCUUGCCUAGCAAGCGCAAGGUCCUGGGUUCGGUCCCCAGCUCCG